GACAGAGGUGCCGAGCGUUAGGCGGAAUCACUGGGCUUAAAGCGUGUGUAGGCGGACCGUUAAGUACCUUGUGAAAUCCCCCCGGCUCAACCGGGGAACGGCUGGGUAUACUGGCGGUCUUGAGCCAUCCAGGGGCAGUCGGAACAGACGGUGGAGCGGUGAAAUGCGUAGAUAUCGUCUGGAACGCCGAAGGUGAAAACAGAACUGCUGGGGAUGCGCUGACGCUGAGACACGAAAGCCAGGGGAGCGGAACAG
rnacentral:rRNA from 1 species